AAAUAGGUCAGCUAAGCAAGCUAUUGGGUUCAUACCCCGGAAAUAAAGGAUUACACCUUUCCCAUUUA
rnacentral:tRNA from 4 species